UUUUUUAUAGUACGGAGUUUCUGUAUUUGGUUUUUUUCAAAAUCUAAAAUUUGAUAUAUGUGCUAUUAAUAUUAGUAGAG
rnacentral:tRNA from 1 species